CCCUAGCCCUGACAGAAAUGGAAAUCCUUGUUGGGCGGGGUUCGCCCAACAAGAUUGUAAUGUAUGGCAGGAAAUAGC
rnacentral:sRNA from 1 species